UGUAAGCGUAUACCAAAGUUGUUGCAGUUAAAACGCUCGUAGUCGGAACUUGGCCGUUCCGGAUGUGUGCACGUCGUGUGCGCACUUUGCGGGGACGGCUUUUGUGGUCUUGCGUAGGAUGAGGCACUUUUAUUAGUGAACGUCCUCACGCAACCACUCUUUACUGUGAGAAAAUCAGAGUGCUCAAAGCAGGCAUUUGCCGUGAAUGUAUUAGCAUGGAAUAAUAGAAUAGGACUCGGUUCUAUUUUGUUGGUUUGUUGGGACUGAGUAAUGAUUAAGAGGGACAGUUGGGGGCAUUUGUAUUUCGGCGCUAGAGGUGAAAUUCUUAGAUUGCCGAAAGACAAACUGCUGCGAAAGCGUCUGCCAAGGAUGUUUUCAUUGA
rnacentral:rRNA from 1 species